GCCUAACUCAGGUGCCUCAGAGUGAACAGCAGAGGAAGAGAUGUUGAAAGAACAGGCCAAGGGGAAGACUGGACAGAAAAGUUGAGUCACAGCCCACAGGACAGUGUUUGGAAGAGUUUUCCAGCAGAAAUCUUGAACACUAAGUUGCAUGUGGUGUAGAGGCCAGAACCUGAAGGUUGUGUGAGAACCUAAGGGAAUGGUUUCUCUGAUGGAGGAAUCUUCUGAAAAAUAAGUUUGGGGACAAUGAAUACUGAGAGGAUGAGGGUAUGGAUUACUAUGGAAAGAUUAUAACGAAAACUGGAGAACAAAAAGGCGAGUCCAAUGAAAAAGGCAUGAUCACCUAAGAGGGCCAAAAAUUAUCCUGAAGGUGGCCUGGCCUUGAUAAAUUCACAGCCUGAAGUAGAGGAGGAUUUUUGAAUUUUGAAGAGGCAGCGUUUCUGACUCGUGUGCAAAUAACAAAGCCCAGGAGAGCAGGGCUGCAGUGACUGUACAUACUCCAAUAUAAUGAAAAUAAAAGGAGGUUGUGUCUUACCUCCCAAUAAGCAGAGUCAUCAAAGCAGUUCUGGUCAGAUACUUGUCCCAAGAAGGGGAUCUUUAGAAUAGCACCUGCAGGAAAACCAGCAUCAGAGGUUUAAAAAAUGAAGGAAAUGACCAAAUGAAUGUCCCUCAGCUGUGCCCUACACAUCUAGCUAAGUUUUCUGCCUGAUUUCCUCAUCUACAGAAAUGCCCAACCAUCCUGGGGACAUCAGGCCAAUUAUUCUGAGAGUGAUGCAGAUUUCUUCAUACAAACAUAAAUAAGAACAUAAAUAACAGCUUGCUUUUAAUUGACCAGAUUUCAGACCAAAAUUUUCUCUUUCAGCCUGAUUUUUUGUUUGUUUGUUUGGAAGUAUUCACAAACUCAUGGAAAUGCAUGACACCUCAUUGAGUAGGUCUCAAACUAGUUUCUGUUCAGAAUUUGAAGUGUCUGAAUCUGGAGAAGAAUUCCUUCCAGAACAACACCUAAUUAUUCUUAUAGAUGUAAAACUCAGUAUCUUUGGAGCAUGUAUUCAGUGAGAUAUAUAUCCAAGAUCAUCAGGUCCAGUGGUGGACCAAACACCAUCUUUGUCAAGCAGACCAGAGCCCUGAGUGCCACAUCCAGUCACUCCCUGGGCACCUCCAGGGACAGGGACUCCACCACUUCCCAGGGAAGCCCCUUCCAAUGCCUGACCACCCUUUCAGUGAAGAAAUUCUUCCUGGCAAACCUGAACUUCAUUUGAAGACAAAAACAUUGGAAAACUGUUUUUUCCAUAUUUGAGUUUCUGGCGUUGGGACCCAUUAUUUCAAUUUUGUAUUAUUCACACAAAAUUGCUGAUGCAUUUAAGUUCUCCAUGGAGAAACCUCUAAAUUCACAUAUGUUUUUAGUCAUAUAAGCAUCACACUGACCUGUGAGUGCUCCUCCCACAAUUGCAAUUCCAAGUGUACUUCCCAGGGCAGCAGCCUGCAUGGCAGGAGUAAGCGGGUGACCAUUCCUGGAAAGGGUAAAAAACCAAACCAUUGCCUAUCAAAAAAUUGUUACACUUUGAGACUGAUGAUCAUUCUUACAACUUGCAGUUGCUGCAUGCUGGACAAGGUGACUGAUAGGAAAAUAUCCUAGAAUCUUUAUGGUUGGAAAAGAUCUCCAAGAACAUUGAGUCCAAAAAUCCUGCCAUUGCUGUGUACUAGAAGGAACUCAUUACUUUAAUUUAACUUUGUUUUAGGCUACAGAUGAAAACAAGUUAUUUGAGAAGGUUAUUAAUGUCCUGUAAGUCAUUAGCGAAUACUCCCCGUUGUCAAAACAACCAGCAUUUCAUCUUUUUGGAGUCUUAUGAGACAGUGGA